UAAACCUCUUCUCUUCCGCCGAAAAAAUGUCCUAAACAAUGGAACCUCGUCGACGAGUACAACCUCGGAUCCUCCGACAAAGGAAGAACCAGCUCCCACAAGACAUCGUACUCAACAUUCAGGAUUUCCAGAAUGUUGCAGUCAACCCUAUGAAAUUCACAGUACACCAUACCGAGAGGUGGCCAGAAUUAAGCAAUAGGAACUUGUGCCGAUACAGAUAAUUGUACCUGCCCAAAAACUGACGUUAAAGGCAGCGGCAUUAUAGCAGCCCCUUUUCCAACUGGUGUAGUUGAUGUAGUUGUUGUUGUUGCAGGACCAUGUGGUGGGGUGUGCCUGCCACCAUCUCCUCCUCUAUAUGAAGAUUUCCAGAUCUACCGAAUAGGAUUUGAGGAUCAAAUGGACUAUGUAAUAUUGUAUUUGUUAAAUGUUUUAUGAUCAGGUAGGAAAACGAAUUGGAUCGAUAACCUGAUUAUAAAAAAAUAGCAAAUUAAUCA